GUCAAAUAUUUGUUUGUAUUUUUAGAAGUUGUUAUAUACUUUGGCAUUGAUUGUGUAAAAUUAGAAACACACAAAUGUAACUUGAUGUGCUAGUACUAAACACACUUGUAUGCAUUGAUGUUACACACACAUACACGCUGAUAGGCAGAAUGGGCUAAUUAGCAAAUAUGUAUACUGGUUAUUUGAUUGGCUCAAGUUAAUGGUCAAUAUAGCAUAUACGCAUCUCCUAGUAAAAUGGUUUGGGCCCAGCCCAAGUGCACUCACGCACAACUCACGAACGCACACACGCCUCUCCUCUCGGUCUCUUCCUCAGUUCCUCUCCUGUACGCAAUCACGCUGCCGCCGCCGUCGUCGCCUGCCUGUUUCUCCGGCCAUGCCCGGCGCCGCCGUUUGCCGCCACAGCUCCACCUUGCUCUCCUCCAUAGAUUCCCCCUUGGCGCCUCCUCUCUACGCCUUCGCCUGCGCGCCCGCGGCAAACCCUAGCCCGCGGUUGGCUUGGUCGCCGCCGGCCACUACCGGCUCCGGCGCCCUGGCUGCUCCCCUUCGUUGACCUCGCUGCCUCGACGUUCUUCCUCGACCACCACCCGAACUCUCUCUCGACCUGGCCGUGCUCGGCCACCCGCCGGUCUCCCCGAUGGUGUGAUGCUGCUGCUGCCUCUUGGGAUGGUGGUGGCCUCUCAGUGUGGACGCCUCGGUCGCACUAGUAUGUUGGUGACGGUGGUGUCGUCGCUGCACCUCCUUCCCGACUUUGUUGCCGGGUACGAUGGCAGUACUGGACUGCAACCCCGACGGCACUUGCUACUGCUAUGUUGUGUUGUUUGGGGUGAUGGUGUGGCUCAUGGUGCGAUGGUGUGGAUGCUGCUACUACUUCGACCUAAACCAAGACACUGGCGGGACGGCAUCAGGCUGCAACCCCGCGUCCUCUGAUUCAUGAUCCCGGGACAUUCCUGUGGUUCUGCUACUGCAGUGAUUUACUAAUGGUGAUGAUGCUACUACUGCUGCCUCGACCACGCUUCAAGGGUAACAUUUGGUUCUCCUCUAUGCUUGUGCACUGCUAUUGAUAUGAUGUAUUGGCUAUAGUUCCUGUGACUCCGAGGUUUCGGUGUAUUGGUAUUUGGUAGUGCUGAUGGUCACUUGGAUAUGUGAAUAUACAGGUUUGAUCUAGUCGGUCUAUCGUCUUUGCUAGCUAGAUGUUUUGGUCUACUCCUGGUAUUUCUAGAUUUCCUAGAGUAAGAGACACUACUAUUGUAUUAUGAUUUGCCUGGACAUACACUAUCUAUAUGGCCUGCGAAUGGUAGAUACAGGUUCUGGUAACUUUUAUAUUUAGGGAUAAAAUAGAACAGAUACUACUCCAUUUGAAGCGAUCAUAUCCAUCCCGAGAUGCAAAUAAUCCACACUAAUAUAUCUCCAACAAUAUGUAGGUGAUGUCCAUAAGUGUAUAUACAUAUAAAACACAUGCUUGAACAGUUUGCUAGUAUUCUUAGUGGGUGCUAGAUCAAUUACUUGACCAAAUGCAUGUAGUUGAGUGGCAUAUCACUACUAUAUUUGCUCUUUGAAAUGUCAUUGGUACUGGUCCGCAAGUUAUUGAUAGUUGGGGAUGAUUUUCUUAGCCUAGGUAUGUGAUGGGGAAUCUUAUAAACAUGUUUGGCUACUGUUUUAUCUUUCUAGACACGUUCUUUAGUGUUCCUGGUGCUCACAAAAUUAUCUAAGUGCAUGUAUUAUUUUCCCAUAUCUGGUAUAUGAUUCAGUAGAUGAUUUUCCUGUGAUUGCAUGUUAAUUGAAUAGGUAGACACAUCUUACUUUCUAUGAUUUAUUUUUAUAGCUUAUGGCUGUUGCUUGUACUUGCUGAAUCAUGUGCAUACAUUAUGUGAUCAUGUGGUUCUAGGAGUGUGGUGCAAAGUGAGGAUGGCCACUCCUUGGUCAGAUUUAUUUGUUCGCUUUUAUUCAUGGUUCUUGCUACCCUCACUUUAUGUGGUCGGGCAUGAGCUCCUGGUCGUGCCAGUUCUCACCAGCUUAAGCUAGGUGAUCCUGCUCCCCUCACUGAUUGUUUCUCUCUCUCUCUCUCUCUCUCUCUACUUAUAAAUUGAGAAGAACAGAGUUUUGCGCUUGAUCAUCUGGCUUAGCCAAUCAUGCUAAGGCUGAGGCACAGAUUCCUCUAAGGACAGAUACUAAGAUUUGCCUUACCGUAUUCUCUGUGAUCAGCUUGAAUAGUAUACUAUGCAGACUGAGAGAAAUCUUACUCCUCACUUUGUAUUUUCUUGUGCUUUCUUUUUAUCUAAAGUUGAUAAGAUCAGAUUGAUAUAUAUUGUCCUAAAUGUUGCUGUCUAAAUAUUUCUAGCUCCUGGCUAUUGCCGGUGAUCAUCAGCCUAAAGUACUGUUGAUCUUGAGCCUGCAGAUGUUGUUGCUUCACUAUUUCUCUCUUCCUCUUAUAUGCUGCUAAGAAUAGAUGCUUUUAUGAAAAUAUUGUCUAUUCAACCUGCUGCACUUCUGUAGCUUGGUCUUCUGGCAUCUGAAAUAACCUUCUUCUUGUGGUCAGCCUGCUCCUCCUAGCUUCUUGAUUUGUUUCCUAGUUCUUCUCAGAAAUCAUCUGUGGUGUUUGUGCUUAUAGAUAUGGGUGUGCUCUUGCUGAUGUUCUAAUGGAUAGGUGGUUUAGCUAGUAGAUCAAGUAGCUAGCUGCUAAAGGAUUUGCUUGUACGUUCUUGAAAUUAUUGUGGUUCUAGCUAGUGCAAAAGAUGGAAUGCUGCUGUGAGCAAGAGGUGAUGCGGCUGGGUUGGUUAUGUGUACUAGCAAAUCUGCUAGUGCUUCUUCCUUGAUAUUUAUAUGCAGCUCAACUGUUGCUAUGGCAGUGACAACGCAUGCCAUGCAGGUGGUGACCGAGCUGCUUGUGGAUGGCCACCACUCCCUGUUAAAAGAAAGACAGUUGAGGAGAUCAAGAUUUGACUAGGAAUUCUUCUCUCUUCUUGUAACCUUCUUUUUCUAAUAUUGUGUGACUUUUGCACUUCAAUAAAUGUUGUAAAAAUACUUAUGUGAGUAUUCAUUAAUUUUAAUAUUUGAUUCCUAA